GGGUUGUGAGGUUAAGCGAACAAGCGUACACGGUGGAUGCCCUGGCAGUCAGAGGCGAUGAAGGACGUGCUAAUCUGCGAAAAGCGCCGGUAAGGUGAUAUGAACCGUUAUAACCGGCGAUGUCCGAAUGGGGAAACCCGGUGCACUUCGGUGCAUCAUCGUUAGCUGAAUACAUAGGCUAACGAGGCGAACCGGGGGAACUGAAACAUCUAAGUACCCCGAGGAAAAGAAAUCAACCGAGAUUCCCCCAGUAGCGGCGAGCGAACGGGGAACAGCCCAGAGCCUGAAUCAGCUUGUGUGUCAGUGGAACGGUCUGGAAAGGCCGGCGAUACAGGGUGACAGCCCCGUACACGAAGGCACACAGGCUGUGAGCUCGAUGAGUAGGGCGGGACACGUGAUAUCCUGUCUGAAGAUGGGGGGACCAUCCUCCAAGGCUAAAUACUCCUGACUGACCGAUAGUGAACCAGUACCGUGAGGGAAAGGCGAAAAGAACCCCGGCGAGGGGAGUGAAACAGAACCUGAAACCGUGUACGUACAAGCAGUGGGAGCCUUCGUAAGAGGGUGACUGCGUACCUUUUGUAUAAUGGGUCAGCGACUUAUAUUCUGUAGCAAGGUUAACCGUAUAGGGGAGCCGAAGGGAAACCGAGUCUUAAUUGGGCGUUAAGUUGCAGGGUAUAGACCCGAAACCCGGUGAUCUAGCCAUGGGCAGGUUGAAGGUUGGGUAACACUAACUGGAGGACCGAACCGACUAAUGUUGAAAAAUUAGCGGAUGACCUGUGGCUGGGGGUGAAAGGCCAAUCAAACCGGGAGAUAGCUGGUUCUCCCCGAAAGCUAUUUAGGUAGCGCCUCGUGAACUCAUCUCCGGGGGUAGAGCACUGUUUCGGCUAGGGGGCCAUCCCGGCUUACCAACCCGAUGCAAACUGCGAAUACCGGAGAAUGUUAUCACGGGAGACACACGGCGGGUGCUAACGUCCGUCGUGAAGAGGGAAACAACCCAGACCGCCAGCUAAGGUCCCAAAGUCAUGGUUAAGUGGGAAACGAUGUGGGAAGGCCCAGACAGCCAGGAUGUUGGCUUAGAAGCAGCCAUCAUUUAAAGAAAGCGUAAUAGCUCACUGGUCGAGUCGGCCUGCGCGGAAGAUGUAACGGGGCUAAACCAUGCACCGAAGCUGCGGCAGCGACACUAUGUGUUGUUGGGUAGGGGAGCGUUCUGUAAGCCUGUGAAGGUGUGCUGUGAGGCAUGCUGGAGGUAUCAGAAGUGCGAAUGCUGACAUAAGUAACGAUAAAGCGGGUGAAAAGCCCGCUCGCCGGAAGACCAAGGGUUCCUGUCCAACGUUAAUCGGGGCAGGGUGAGUCGACCCCUAAGGCGAGGCCGAAAGGCGUAGUCGAUGGGAAACAGGUUAAUAUUCCUGUACUUGGUGUUACUGCGAAGGGGGGACGGAGAAGGCUAUGUCGGCCGGGCGACGGUUGUCCCGGUUUAAGCGUGUAGGCUGACUUUCCAGGCAAAUCCGGAAAGUUAAGGCUGAGGCGUGAUGACGAGGCACCACGGUGCUGAAGUGACAAAUGCCCUGCUUCCAGGAAAAGCCUCUAAGCAUCAGGUAACAUCAAAUCGUACCCCAAACCGACACAGGUGGUCAGGUAGAGAAUACCAAGGCGCUUGAGAGAACUCGGGUGAAGGAACUAGGCAAAAUGGUGCCGUAACUUCGGGAGAAGGCACGCUGACAUGUAGGUGAAGCCCCUGCGGGUGGAGCUGAAGUCAGUCGAAGAUACCAGCUGGCUGCAACUGUUUAUUAAAAACACAGCACUGUGCAAACACGAAAGUGGACGUAUACGGUGUGACGCCUGCCCGGUGCCGGAAGGUUAAUUGAUGGGGUUAUCGCAAGAGAAGCUCCUGAUCGAAGCCCCGGUAAACGGCGGCCGUAACUAUAACGGUCCUAAGGUAGCGAAAUUCCUUGUCGGGUAAGUUCCGACCUGCACGAAUGGCGUAAUGAUGGCCAGGCUGUCUCCACCCGAGACUCAGUGAAAUUGAACUCGCUGUGAAGAUGCAGUGUACCCGCGGCAAGACGGAAAGACCCCGUGAACCUUUACUACAGCUUGACACUGAACAUUGAGCCUUGAUGUGUAGGAUAGGUGGGAGGCUUUGAAGCGUGGACGCCAGUCUGCGUGGAGCCGACCUUGAAAUACCACCCUUUAAUGUUUGAUGUUCUAACCUGGCGCCGUGAUCCGGCGUGGGGACAGUGUCUGGUGGGUAGUUUGACUGGGGCGGUCUCCUCCCAAAGUGUAACGGAGGAGCACGAAGGUCAGCUAAUCCUGGUCGGACAUCAGGAGGUUAGUGCAAUGGCAUAAGCUGGCUUGACUGCGAGAGUGACGGCUCGAGCAGGUGCGAAAGCAGGUCAUAGUGAUCCGGUGGUUCUGUAUGGAAGGGCCAUCGCUCAACGGAUAAAAGGUACUCCGGGGAUAACAGGCUGAUACCGCCCAAGAGUUCAUAUCGACGGCGGUGUUUGGCACCUCGAUGUCGGCUCAUCACAUCCUGGGGCUGAAGUAGGUCCCGAGGGUAUGGCUGUUCGCCAUUUAAAGUGGUACGCGAGCUGGGUUUAGAACGUCGUGAGACAGUUCGGUCCCUAUCUGCCGUGGGCGCUGGAGAAUUGAGGGGGGCUGCUCCCAGUACGAGAGGACCGGAGUGGACGCAUCACUGGUGUUCGGGUUGUCAUGCCAAUGGCACUGCCCGGUAGCUAAAUGCGGAAGAGAUAAGUGCUGAAAGCAUCUAAGCACGAAACUUGCCCCGAGAUGAGUUCUCCCUGAGACUGUAAGUCUCCUGAAGGAACGUUGAAGACGACGACGUUGAUAGGCCGGGUGUGUAAGCGCAGCGAUGCGUUGAGCUAACCGGUACUAAUGAACCGUGAGGCUUAACCUUACAACGCCAAAGAAGU
rnacentral:rRNA from 1 species